rnacentral:rRNA from 1 species
AUUGAACGCUGGCGGCAGGCCUAACACAUGCAAGUCGAACGAGUGGCGGACGGGUGAGUAAUGUCUGGGAAACUGCCUGAUGGAGGGGGAUAACUACUGGAAACGGUAGCUAAUACCGCAUACCAUCAGCUGUGCCCAGAUGGGAUUAGCGUGUUGGUGGGGUAACGGCUCACCAAGGCGACGAUCCCUAGCUGGUCUGAGAGGUUGACGCGCCAAACUGGAACUGGAACACGGUCCAGAACCUUACGGAGGGCAGCGGUGGGGAAUAUUGCACAAGGGGGGCAAUCCGGAUGAGGCCAGCCAGCGUGUAGGAGGAAGGCCUUCGGGUGGUAAAGUACUUUCAGCGGGGAGGCGUUACCAGCAGAAGAAGCACGGGCAAACUCCGUGCAAGCGGCGGCGGUAAUA